rnacentral:lncRNA from 1 species
UGACAAGGGGCAUGGAGGAAUGGUGGCGGAACACUCCGUUUGUCUCUUUUUAUGUAUCCCUCCAUACAAGAGCACGAGCAAAGAUACCAUAGCUUUACUCGGGCCACCUAUGUGGUGAUUCACUUCAAGUCACCAUUCGGAAAUGGUGUUGAAAAUUUCCUAAUUAUUGGUGUGCAUGUUAAUUAGGCCUAAUGGGUGGUCCAAAUGUAGAUUAAGAGGCGACAAUUGAAUGAGGUCUGAGCGGCAAUCACUGACUCCCGAUAACAAAGUUUAGAAACUGUCACUAUUUGGCCACCCGUACGUUGGAAAUCGGUCAGUAGUCCACACUCAUCCUGAAAGAUGAGCCAAACAAAGAUUUUCCACUUUGGUUGUUCCCAGUUGCUCUAAAUCACCGGUUUUAACACACAUGAAGUGAUGCGCCUAUACUGCACAUAGUAGGCCAACGAGGUGGAGUAGUUACCAUUAUAAGAGACCUUCCAAGAUAUGGUUUCGACCCAAUAAUCAUUGAGAUUCACCAACUGGGGUAUUGUUCAAAGAAAGUGAAGUUGUUGCAACUUGGACACAUUGAUACUAGUGGUAGUGCUCAUGUUAAUAAUGCAUGCAUCAUGCAUAACCCGCUUUAUUGACAUUAUCAUGGAUGUCCUUGGCGAUUGCCAAAAUAUUCCGGGCAAUGUCCUUUGUCAAGCGCCCUUGGAGCCACAAAGCUCCUAUUAUAUUUCAUUUGACCGUCCCAACAUCAACCAUCGUCAUAUCAUAGAAAAGAUCUAUGUUAGCAUCGGAUUGACUUGUCUCACACAUGAUCUUGUCGGGUCUUCCCACUCGUGCACUAACCACCUACAUUGGAAUGUUAUCACAAAAUUUUCAAUAUCAUGAAUCCCAAGCCGCGAAGUUUUCUUCGAUCGACAUAGGAUCUUCCAAUUAAUCUUGCGGGAGGGGCAGGAGGGGCAGUCGCCCCGGCCCCCCAAGAAACGGAGGGCCCCUCCUGGCCCAAGUAAUGCACACGCAAGUUACGUUUCCUCCAUUCUGUGCGGUCCGUGCAGCUGUGCGAGAAGUCGACGCCUCGUUUCCAUCAAGCGACAACGAUGUAAGAGGCCGAGAAUAGUCGAGUGUCGUUUCACCUAUUUGCAUGCAGUGGCCGCCGGGAACAGCUGACCUAUUUGCAUGCAGUGGCCGCCGGGAACAGCUGAUUAGCAGCGGUUGUGGCAUCAGCGAGAGACUCAGACGACACAUCGCUUUGACCACGGAUGGACAAACCCCAAUGCCAAUUCCAGGUACUAUUCUAUCUAGAUCCCAUAGAAACUACUAAAUCUAGUGAUGUCCAGCAACUUGAAGGGCUCCAGAUUUGUAAACCUAUCGGCAAGGUUUGCCAAUUCAAAGUGCUUUCUAGGAUUAACCCAUACAAUUUAGAGCUGAAAUUUUAAGUCCAGUCAUUAAACAGAUUGAUUUACAAAGCCCACCAUCCAUUCACCGCUAAGCCAAGAGAAAAGGCCCAUACAUCUCUCUAUUAAAAAAUCAUGGUUAAGGAAAGCUAAAAGGCACAACCGUAAAAUAUCUAAUCCUCUCAACCGUCUCUUCCUUUACCAGAAAAAACAAUGACCUUAACCGUAUUCUCAAUCUCUCACGUCUCUCUCUCCAACUCUAAUGUCUCUCUUCAUCUCCUCAUAGAAAACAGAUCCAUAUCUCU